GCUGAGGUUUGGCAGUGGCUUAGCCAUGAAACCUGAGCGAAAGGGCACAGUUUUGUUUUUGCUGUUUCUGUCCCCCAGAACAGAUCAGAAGCUUCCAGAGAGAGGCUGCCUCCUGCUCUCCUCCUGCUCCGUGCCUAGCACAGCCUGUCCCUGCCAAGUGCUGGGGCUGCCAGGGCAGACGUCCUGUCGUGCCCACUUGCGUGAGGUGGGAACGCAGCAGCCCCCAGCCUUCAGGGCUUGCACUGCUGCACUGCCUGUGGCAGGCAGAAAGCUAGCAUCCGAACCAACGAAUGUGAGUACAGUUACACCUCAUCCAGACUCAGUUUUCUGUUUGUUGAUGCAGUGCCUCUGGCUUUGAACCUUGUGGAAGGGGUUGCAUCAUGUAUUGGUGUGCUCACAGGUGGUUUUCAAAGGCUUGCUUAAAGCAGGGGAAUAUGCAGAAGAACAGCACAGAAGGAAAUCCAGAACUGAGAAAUAGGGGAGUGGUAACUCCACUAUAUGCUUUUCAUGAAGCCUGUGUAAACCCACCUGGGUGAGCUCUGCAGCCUUGUGAUUCAGUGCGAGCCUGGGAGCAGCGGCUGGUACUAUCCCCCUGCCCAGGAUGUUCCCUCCUGCCCCACAGAAACCCAGUACCUGGAAUCACUAUCAAAGAAGCAUCCAUAUUUUGUCUGAAUUUGCACAUGGCUUAGAGUGGAGCCUUCAGUGGACAUUAGGGAACCCAGGCUCGGAAGGUUACAGACUUGUCCAGUACUUCUUUCUAGGAAGCUCCAGCCACCUUCUCCAGGAGGGCAUAUCCUCAGAGAAUUUUGGCAAGGCUGUUUUCCUGAAUGAUCUGGACAUUUUCCCCUCCACUGCAUGUCUUCUCAGAAGAAAGCUGAAGUCUUAAAGUCUCUGAAGUUUAAUGGACUGCUAAAGAAUAUGCACUUCUGCUGAGCAGCCUAACCUCACACAGCACUGUAGCAGUGAGGGUUGUUGUGUCAGAGACUGGGUUAGUAUUUCUGAUGCCGUGAGUGGUGAAAUGUAUUUCUCGCUAAAGCAUUGACACUAGGAACUAAGUAAUUCUUGUAUUUUACUUUGUCAUGGUUAGUCACGCCAUUCUCACCAUAACUGAAAAAGAGAAAUGGACACUGAGAAAUUAUCACUGAGCACCUGCCUUUGUGGUUUGGAGAGGAUGGGUGGGGGCUGGAUUGCAGAGGAAUGUAUUUUGGGUCUUUGUGACCUUGCCCUCUAAGCAAAAGGAAAAACAUGGGUUUGUUCAAGGAUGUGUUUGUCAAUGGCAGUUAAGGAGAGAAAGUUGGCAAAUUAAAUAUAUAUAUGUGUAUCUUUCUAUUUCUGGAAGCCGCCUUUCUCAUCUUAUUACCCUUGCAAUUAUACAUUUUAAUUCAGUAACUUUCCAUUUCAGUACACAAACUACAUUCAAAUACAUUUGUCUCUUGAAUCCUGAUCCUACCAAACCUUGCUGCUGUCUGCUAUACUGAUGUCAUUUGACUUCAAGAAUUUAGUGUAUUAAGUUUUGACCAGUAAAAAGCAAAAUGCACAUAUGCACAAACAUUUCAGAAGUUCAUUCUGGACCCAAAUCCACUGCUAACUUCAGAUGUAUCAAAUAUUGUAGCUUACUGAUGC